rnacentral:sRNA from 1 species
CUAUAGCCGUGAUGGCAGCGGCAUCCUUAUUGCCCAUGGUUUGGGCAAGAAGAUAAAGCUAACAGCAGGACAUCUU